GUCCUACGGAGGCAGCAGUGGGGAAUAUUGCACAAUGGGGGGAACCCUGAUGCAGCGACGCCGCGUGGGUGAAGAAGUCAUUCGUGACGUAAAGCCCUAUCAGCAGGGAAGAAAAUGACGGUACCUGACUAAGAAGCCCCGGCUAACUACGUGCCAGCAGCCGCGGUAAUACGUAGGGUGCGAGCGUUAAUCGGAAUUACUGGGCGUAAAGCGCACGUAGGCUGUAUGACAAGUCAAGGGUGAAAUGCCACGGCUCAACCGUGGAACUGCCUUUGAAACUGUCAAACUGGAGUAUGUGAGAGGGG
rnacentral:rRNA from 1 species